rnacentral:rRNA from 1 species
UACGUAGGGGGCAAGCGUUGUCCGGAAUCAUUGGGCGUAAAGAGCGUGUAGGCGGCCAUACAGGUCAGCUGUGAAAACUCGAGGCUCAACCUCGAGACGUCGGUUGAAACCGUAUGGCUAGAGUCCGGAAGAGGAGAGUGGAAUUCCCGGUGUAGCGGUGAAAUGCGCAGAUAUCGGGAAGAACACCUAUGGCGAAGGCAGCUCUCUGGGACGGUACUGACGCUGGGACGCGAAAGCGUGGGGAGCAAACAGG